UGGGAGAAAGGGGCAGGUAAUGGACUGGAGUGAGGAGACUGAGGAGAAAUUGUAGAGAAUAAUACUUAGGAGUACAUGUGCUGGAUUCACUCAUUAAGUUAAAGAGCAGGAUGAUGUCUGAAGUGACUGAAACACAUAUGGCUUCAGUGUGUCAAGAAGACCUGAAAGAUCCCACAUGGAAGUGAAAUUCAUUACUGGCAAGCACAGUGGCAGGAGACCCCAGAGGGCUGAGCCGCAAAGAAUUUGCAGAGCCUUAUGGCUAACUCCAUGGCCUAGUUUGAUCUUGAGGUUAUUGUCUUGGAUAAUCCUCUCAAAUCUGUUCCUGCACUUAAGAGCCACUCAUCACAUGAUGGAGCUCCCUCUCAGGUUCCUUUACAUCGCCCUGUCAGAAAUGACUUUCAGGGAACAUAGAUAUCAUAUCAAAUCAUCCAACAGAUGUCCCUUUCAAAUAAGUUGGAGCAGAACCAACUAUGUGGAGAAGUCAUAAACAAGGCAACAGACACCCCAGUGAUUUCCAGCAGAUUGGCGUUGCUCUUUGCACAGAAACCUCAGUCUCCUGGGUGGAAGAACAUGAGUUCAACAGAGCAUGUGUGCACUAUACUGGCUGACUCUUGCCCUGCUCAGGCUCAUGCUGCUGACAGGGGAUAGAGGGGACACUUCGGAGUCCAAAUCUUGCAUCAUCUCAAUGAAGUGUUGUUCAACGUCACGGCUCUAAGAAGUAACCUAUUUUAAUAACUGGCAUCAAAGGACUUAGGAGAGAGAAACCCAGUAUCCAGACCUAUUUCCGUCAGUGACUCUCUCCUUGUAUUGGGAGGAUUGGCCAGAAUCUGAUUCCUGUUUCUGAUUUCCUUCCUCACUGGCAUCAGAGGAUUGCACUAUAGGAAAACUAAUAUCUAACUGAGCUCCAAGUGCUAAAUAAGAGCAUCUCACGUUCAUUCCGGGCCAGCAAGAGGUU
rnacentral:lncRNA from 1 species